AUCAAACCAAUGAGAAUAUAAUACAUACAAUAAUUAUACUAAUAUACAAAUUAUAUUAGUUAAAACAUUUAGAUUAUUCAACCAAUAAAUUGGAUAUAUCAUCUCUUUGUCUGAAUGUCCAUGCAUCGUUACAGAGAAAACGUAUGAAAAUUAUUGUUUUUUUAGAACAGUAUUAAAAUUACUUGUGGUGUGAGACAUAUACUCCAUUUAAAUUUUAGAAAAUUGGGCACUUUCUCAAAUAAAACAGAGAACAAAAAGUGUGGUUCAAAACGGGCUAAGAGAGUUUCUGAUUUGUUUGUUUCACAACAAUUCUCUGAGGCUGUCAAAUGCAACAAGAGUAGUGGUGCAUUGAAGUGUGAUUGUUUAUAUAUAACUUUUUAUUAAUGUUCGAAAAAAAUAAGUUUUUACUAUGUUGUAUUUUUUUAGAAAAUGUUGGUUGUUUGGCUUGCAAGAUUAUAUUUCUGUUCUUUCUUUUUGAACUGGGCCCAAACACAAGCAUUUUACGCAGAUGGUAGGCUCUUUUUCUACUCCCUCCGUCACAGUUUAGAAGGCACAGUUAAAUUUGCGUGCGUUUUCACAAUAGACAAGGUUUAGGGCGGAUUGCAUUUAUUUCUAGUAGCUAAUUAGUACUCGGAUAUACUAUUUCUAUAUGCAUGCAUAGUGUGAAUGCUAUUUUUUAGCCCAUCUCACAACCAAUAGAUAACCACCUAGGUCCCAGAGAAUUUUCAAGCGCGCCUUUUAAACCGUGACGGAGGGAGUAGAAAAACACGCACACUUAUUAAAAAAAAGCAAGCACACUUUUGAGGGAUGCACACGCAUUCUUCCAUUUGUUGGCCUAAAAAAAUUAUAUUUGUGGGAUAACCACAUACGGAGAACGAAGGAGGCAAUAGCCAGCGUGAACCAGCUCCUCCUCGUGCUCUCCGCCUGUCUCUGCUUUCCUCUUUUCUUCCUCCGUUCUCCAUGCUUGGCCUGGAGCAGCGGGGAGAGAAUCUAGGCUGCAGACGCCUCCAGCCGGCGAGCGCCUCUUGCUAACUACUGACUACCUCCAGCCGGCUGCUCCAUGCUUGUCCUGGUUCUUGGUGUCCUCUUUGGAGCUGCUCCAUGGAGCUCACCGAGCAACCAUGGCGCCACCUCGAACUCUGGAUCCGGCGCCCCCAAACCUCGACGGCCUCCCCCGCGCGCCUCCCUGACCCUCCUCCAUCUGGAUCCGUCCGGUGGCAGCCGGAUUGUCGCCGUUCUCUGGAGUAAAACCCGCGCCGCCGCGUCCCUCAGUCGUCUCGCGCAAGAGGACGAUGAGUAGACCCCCUGUCACGGGAUCUCGCGGGCUCCUCAGCCUCGGCUGGAUCCAACACGCGCUGAUUAUGCCGCUGCCCCGCCUCCCACGCGUCCUCCUCCUCCCAGCCAUUGCCCACGGCGGCGAGGAGCGUGUUGAGCAGCCCGAUCGUGGUCGGCGGCGUGCGCUCCAGCCGGCCGACGCGGGCCUGGAGCGCUGCGGCCUGGGCCUCGGUGUCGGCGAACCGCGUGCGGCGAAGAGGAGGCAGGCCGUGGUGUGGGGAGGAGGGCGCGGCGGAGAGGAGGUAGGCCGGCGCGCGGGGAUGGCGUGGCGGAGGAUGCGGACCGACGGCGGGGAGGCGGAGGAUCCAGAUCGGGAGGCGCGGUCGCUCGACUCUGGGUUGGUUUUUGUUGGCAAACCGCACACGCGUCCACGGGUGGAUUAGAAAUACGAAACGUUUUUUUUCACUUAUUUACUGGACUGCGGGUUAAUUACUUAAUAUCAUAGGGAUUUUUCUGUAAAAAUGCCGACGACGUACGACAGAAACCCAGUUUGCUUUAUUA